GUUCAGCUGUACCGUUUUCUUGUGAGGAGGACGGGAAGCAAGUUCAAUGCUGUGAUACUGAAGAGGUUGUUCAUGAGCAAGGUCAAUAAGCCUCCUAUCUCUCUCUCUCGCUUGACUCGUUUCAUGCAGGGAAAUGAGAUAGUGAUGUCACAAAAAACCAGUAGACCCGAUUAAAGUUUACUCUGAGAGAUAUGCAGUUGUUCCUGAUGACAACGUCAAAAGGAUAAAUUUUGCCGAGGGGAAGAUCUGAUUCUAGAAGUAAGGAAUUUGCAGCUUGAUUUUUGAAAUAGGCUCAAAAUUGAGAUCUUGUUGGAAAUUUUUUAUUUUUUUAUUUUUUGUAAGAGCAUUUAAAUAUCCAAUGUGCUGAUUGGUGAAUUUUAGAUUUUAUUUUAUUAUUUUAUUUUUUUUAGGAUU